rnacentral:rRNA from 1 species
CCAGAGAACUUAGCAGAGAUGCUUUGGUGCCUUCGGGAACUCUGAGACAGGUGCUGCAUGGCUGUCGUCAGCUCGUGUUGUGAAAUGUUGGGUUAAGUCCCGCAACGAGCGCAACCCUUAUCCUUUGUUGCCAGCGGUCCGGCCGGGAACUCAAAGGAGACUGCCAGUGAUAAACUGGAGGAAGGUGGGGAUGACGUCAAGUCAUCAUGGCCCUUACGAGUAGGGCUACACACGUGCUACAAUGGCGCAUACAAAGAGAAGCGACCUCGCGAGAGCAAGCGGACCUCAUAAAGUGCGUCGUAGUCCGGAUUGGAGUCUGCAACUCGACUCCAUGAAGUCGGAAUCGCUAGUAAUCGUAGAUCAGAAUGCUACGGUGAAUACGUUCCCGGGCCUUGUACACACCGCCCGUCACACCAUGGGAGUGGGUUGCAAAAGAAGUAGGUAGCUUAACCUUCGGGAGGGCGCUUACCACUUUGUGAUUCAUGACUGGGGUGAAGUCGUAACAAGGUAGGCGUAGACGU